UUACGGCCAUAUCGCGUUGAAACACCGGUUCACGUCUGAUCACCGAAGUUAAGCAAAGUCGAAAUUGGUCAGUAUCUAGAUGGGUGACCACUCGAGAAUACU